rnacentral:lncRNA from 12 species
GGUUUGCAUGUUUUUUUUUUUUUUUUGCAAAAGAGAAAUAUAGCUAUGAUAUUAAAGCAAAGAAUAUAAAAUAUAAGUGCAAACAUUUGAAACAUUUGGUUUUAUAAUAAAAUUAUUGAAAUAAAUUAGAAUUUUUGUUCUCUAGUUUUUAGCAAUUCUUGAUAUACUGUAUCGUGUUGAAGAGAGAAAUUUACACCACAUAUAUAUAUGGCUCUUCUAAUGUUGAUUUUUAUAGAAGAGGAUGGAUUCACUAAAUCAUUCAUGAAAUGCCAAAGAAAUAAUAGUGUUCCUAAUAAAAUUACCACAGAAAUUAUUUAUGUUGGCUUCCAAAAGGAGAGUUUCAAUAUAUGAAAACAGACUAAUGAUGGGGAAACAUAGAAGGUAAUAUGCUGUCAAUUCUCACAGAGGAAAGUGGCUAUUAUGCUCAUUAGAGGUCAGUGUUAGUUCCUUUAUUAUCAUACAAAUUUAUUAAUGAUCUGGAAAAUUUAGUAAGUCAUAUAUUAAAAUUUGCAGAUGGCUCUGGUUAUGACUAUUUGCUCAUAAUAUGUUGAAUAAUUACUUUAUUAUUACUUGAAUUUAAUACUGACACUUUUAUGUUGAUAUGAUAAUGCAGAGCUAAAAAAAUGAAAUUGGGCAAUACAUUUAGAAGGCAACAGAAGUGUGUAAUGAGAAUGUUUAAAUAUCUCUAGAUGAAUGCAGCUCAGGUAACCUUUAGUUCUGAUCUUUUCUCAGAACCUUCAGUGGAUAAGUAAAGGGAAGAUAGUAAUUCUACAUUAUGUUAGGU